rnacentral:rRNA from 1 species
UACGAAGGGGGCUAGCGUUGCUCGGAAUCACUGGGCGUAAAGCGCACGUAGGCGGAUUGUUAAGUCAGGGGUGAAAUCCUGGAGCUCAACUCCAGAACUGCCUUUGAUACUGGCGACCUUGAGUCCGGGAGAGGUGAGUGGAACUGCGAGUGUAGAGGUGAAAUUCGUAGAUAUUCGCAAGAACACCAGUGGCGAAGGCGGCUCACUGGCCCGGUACUGACGCUGAGGUGCGAAAGCGUGGGGAGCAAACGGG